CAAUUUCAUUGGUCGAUGAUU
rnacentral:miRNA from 1 species